rnacentral:rRNA from 1 species
UACGGGGGGGGCAAGCGUUGUUCGGAAUUACUGGGCGUAAAGGGUUCGUAGGUGGCCGACUAAGUCAGACGUGAAAUCCCUCAGCUUAACUGGGGAACUGCGUCUGAUACUGGUUGGCUUGAGUGCAGGAGAGGAACGCGGAAUUCCAGGUGUAGCGGUGAAAUGCGUAGAUAUCAGGAGGAACACCGGUGGUGUAGACGGCUCACUGGACCGUAACUGACGCUGAGACACGAAAGCGUGGGUAGCAAACAGG